UUUGUCUCUCGAUUUUUAGCCUUUCGAGAAAAUAGCGAAGGACGCUGGCUAAAAGAAUGAGAGAUAAAUAAUAUACGACAGUCGCUGCGAGUUGGCGGAGAGAAGAAGUCAACGCUUUUUUACGGUGUUCCAGUCAUGUGCGAUUAGCGUUGUGAACGAAACGAAGCUAAUGAGUGAGCAGCGUGUGUUGGCGUACGUUAUUCGAAGAAACCGGUGCAGCAAGCGGCCUUGGAUUUAUCCGAUGCGCCAUUUCAGGCUCGUAGUUAAGCUCCCUUUCCAUUUGCGCUCACCUACAGACACGGCAAAACUCUUUGAUCAUAUAUGUGCUUAAGGCGCGGGAGAUGUCCGUGUCCUUAUGAUUCCUAGAUACGUCUGCCUGCGAGAGGAGUCCGUGCGCUUCUGCCGUACUAUUAGUAGAUCGAAGUUCGUACCCGUUCUAUACCGUACCCUGUCUGUACGUUCGCGGGUGCUUCCGGUUGCCUGCUGUCGUCCAUGGAAGCGCCGACUGCG